rnacentral:rRNA from 1 species
UGAGGAAUAUUGGUCAAUGGACGCAAGUCUGAACCAGCCAAGUAGCGUGCAGGAUGACGGCCCUAUGGGUUGUAAACUGCUUUUAUAUGGGGAUAAAGUGGGGAACGUGUUCCCUUUUGCAGGUACCAUAUGAAUAAGGACCGGCUAAUUCCGUGCCAGCAGCCGCGGUAAUACGGAAGGUUCGGGCGUUAUCCGGAUUUAUUGGGUUUAAAGGGAGCGUAGGCCGUUUGGUAAGCGUGUUGUGAAAUGUAGGAGCUCAACUUCUAGAUUGCAGCGCGAACUGUCAGACUUGAGUGCGCACAACGUAGGCGGAAUUCAUGGUGUAGCGGUGAAAUGCUUAGAUAUCAUGAAGAACUCCGAUUGCGAAGGCAGCUUACGGGAGCGCAACUGACACUGAAGCUCGAAGGUGCGGGUAUCGAACAGG